rnacentral:rRNA from 1 species
AUUAAAGAGUUCUAUAACUCCCAAACCCAUGUGAACAUACCUAACGUUGCCUCGGCAGGUCGCACCUACCUUGUAGCACCCUACCCUGUAGGGCCUACCCGGGAGGUGCGGGUAAGCCUGCCGGCGGCCCACCAAACUCUGUUUGAUAUUGAAUUCUGAACCUAUAACUAAAUAAGUUAAAACUUUCAACAACGGAUCUCUUGGUUCUGGCAUCGAUGAAGAACGCAGCGAAAUGCGAUAAGUAAUGUGAAUUGCAGAAUUCAGUGAAUCAUCGAAUCUUUGAACGCAUAUUGCGCCCAUUAGUAUUCUAGUGGGCAGGACCGUUCGAGCGUCAUUUCAACCCUUAAGCCUUCGUUGCUUAGUGUUGGGAGCCUACGGCAACGUAGCUCCUCAAAGUUAGUGGCGGAGUUGGUUCACACUCUAGACGUAGUAAUUUUUUAUCUCGCCUAUUAGUUGGACUAAUCCCCUGCCGUAAAACCCCUAAUUUAUCAAGGUUGACCUCGAAUCGGUUCAGACAAACUCGCUAAAUUGAAGCAUCUUAGUCAGCGAAGGAAAAGAAACCAACAGGGAUUGCCCUAGUAACGGCGAGUGAAGCGGCAACAGCUCAAAUUU